GGAGAGGGAAGCAGUGGAGCCGCUCAGGUCCGAAGCCACCGGGAGAGAGGAUCGUUUGCACCUCCUCGCAUCAACAGGUUGGGGGGCAUAUGAGUGUCACUCAGCAGAGCCCGGCCGUUCACUGUUGCAGCCAUCUGCAGGUGAACUCUGCUACUUGGGUUUUAAGUCUGUGGCAGAGAGGGUGAGAGAGCACAGAUCACUAUGGUUUCCCACUGCUGUAUAUCUGACCGCAGCUCGGCAUCACACACACACUUCAUGCAUACCAGAGUCGGCUAUGAAUAAAUUUUUGUCUGUGUCUGCAUAAGUGUGUGUCAGUUGGUCAUGGCUUCCUGGUUCCUGCUCGCUCCAUUCGCCAUACUCCCCUGGUUCUCAUCAUACAAUCUCCACGACCUGCUGCAGUAUAAUGGACCACUUCAACUUACAAUUCUCUGCGAGAUCGUUCCAUUUCUUCAAGUGGUAUUAAGAAUUCAUAUUGCUGCCAUCCUUCCACCUGCCAUGCUCAGCUCCUGUCUUGUCAUCUUGGAUUUUGUUUGCCUGCGGAUUCCUGUGGAUUCCUGUCUAUAAAUACAUCUCUGCCAUUAUCGUGCCGGACUGUCUACAGCCCCAUGCCCUCAGCAUCAUAACCAGCCCACAUUCCACACCAUGAAAUAAGAGUGCAAUAAAACAAAUGUUAUCACUACUGACGUGUGUUCUUAUUGUGGGUUCGGAUCAUGACAAAACCUUACAAAGAAGGUAUAAAAAAGUCAUGGUAAUUUAACACAUAAAAAAAAUCUUAUGGUAGUGCGUAAAAAUUCAUUACUAAGGCAUGGAAACAUCACAGUAUAUUGAGGGAAAGAAAGUAAAAGAAAACAUUGUAGUAUAGUAACGCAUGAAAAGUGAAAAACGGACAUUGUAAGGCAAUAUAAGAAAUCAAAUCAACAAAGUAUACCAUAAGGUAUAGAAACAUCAUACUAUAGUAAGCAAAAAAAGGUCAUAGUAUAGUAAGGCAUAAAAAGUGAAAAAAAAACAACAUAGUAUAUUAAGGCAAUAUAAGCCAUAAAAACUACAAAGUAUAUUAAGGCAUGAAAAGACAAACAAACGACACAGUAUAGUAAGGCAAUAUAAGACACCAAAACUAGAUAACAUAGUGAGGAUUAAAAAUGUCAUGGUAAAGUAAGGCAUUAAAGGGCAUAAAAAUGUAGUAUAGUUAGUCAUAAAAAGUCAUAAAAAUGACAUAGUAUAGUAAGGCAUAAAAAGUUAUGAAAUAGUCAUAGCAUAGUAAAUGAUAAAAUCAUAUUACUAUACUAAGGCAUUAAAAGUCAUAAAAAUAUCACAGUAUAAUAACGCAUUUAAACGUCAUAGUAUAG